rnacentral:rRNA from 1 species
ACAUGCAAGUCGCACGGGCAGCAAUGUCAGUGGCGGACGGGUGAGUACCGCGUAGGAAUGUGUCCAGAGUGGGGGACAACCUUGGGAAACUGAGGCUAAUACCGCAUAUGAGCUGAGGCUCAAAGCAGCGAUGCGCCUUUGGAGUAGCCUGCGUCCGAUUAGCUAGUUGGUGGGGUAGAGGCCUACCAAGGCGACGAUCGGUAGCUGGUCUGAGAGGACGACCAGCCACACUGGGACUGAGACACGGCCCAGACUCC